AGAGUUUGAUCCUGGCUCAGAACGAACGCUGGCGGCGUGCUUAACACAUGCAAGUCGAACGCGAAAGCCUGGGCAACUGGGCGAGUAGAGUGGCGCACGGGUGAGUAACACGUGGGUAACCUACCUUCGAGUGGGGAAUAACUCCUCGAAAGGGGAGCUAAUACCGCAUAAGACCACGACCUCCACGGGGGUUGUGGUCAAAGGUGGCCUCAUCAUACAGAGCAUUUGGGACGGUCUUCCGGAAACGGAGGAUGGUCCUCAGCGCUUUGUUCAAUGAAGCCGCUGCUUGAAGAGGGGCUCGCGGCCCAUCAGCUAGUUGGUAGGGUAACGGCCUACCAAGGCGACGACGGGUAGCUGGUCUAAGAGGACGACCAGCCACACGGGAAUUGAGAUACGGUCCCGACUCCUACGGGAGGCAGCAGUGGGGAAUCUUGGGCAAUGGGGGAAACCCUGACCCAGCGACGCCGCGUGGGGGAUGAAGGCUUUCGGGUUGUAAACCCCUGUUAGGUGGGACGAACGCCUCUUGAUGAACAGUCAGGAGGUCUGACGGUACCACCAGAGAAAGCCCCGGCUAACUCCGUGCCAGCAGCCGCGGUAAUACGGAGGGGGCUAGUGUUGUUCGGAAUUACUGGGCGUAAAGGGCGCGCAGGCGGCUUGGCAAGUCGAGUGUGAAAUCCCUUGGCUUAACUGAGGAAUAGCGCUCGAAACUA
rnacentral:rRNA from 1 species